rnacentral:rRNA from 1 species
GAUGAACGCUGGCGGCGUGCCUAACACAUGCCAGUCGAGCGAAGCACUUACUUUAGAUUUCUUCGGAAUGACGAAGUUUGUGACUGAGCGGCGGACGGGUGAGUAACGCGUGGGCAACCUGCCCUGUACAGGGGGAUAACAGUUAGAAAUGACUGCUAAUACCGCAUAAGCCCACAGCUUCGCAUGAAGCAGUGGGAAAAACUCCGGUGGUACAGGAUGGGCCCGCGUCUGAUUAGCUAGUUGGUAAGGUAACGGCUUACCAAGGCGACGAUCAGUAGCCGACCUGAGAGGGUGACCGGCCACAUUGGGACUGAGACAAGGCCCAAACUCCUACGGGAGGCAGCAGUGGGGAAUAUUGCAAAAUGGGGGAAACACUGAUGCAGCGACGCCGCGUGAGCGAUGAAGUAUUUCGGUAUGUAAAGCUCUAUCAGCAGGGAAGAAAGUGACGGUACCUGACUAAGAAGCCCCGGCUAACUACGUG